rnacentral:rRNA from 1 species
GACGUAGGGCGCGAGCGUUGUCCGGAUUUAUUGGGCGUAAAGAGCUCGUAGGCGGCUUGUUGCGUCGACCGUGAAAACCCGGGGCUCAACUUCGGGCUUGCGGUCGAUACGGGCGGGCUAGAGUUCGGUAGGGGAGACUGGAAUUCCUGGUGUAGCGGUGAAAUGCGCAGAUAUCAGGAGGAACACCGGUGGCGAAGGCGGGUCUCUGGGCCAAUACUGACGCUGAGGAGCGAAAGCGUGGGGAGCGAACAGG